rnacentral:tRNA from 1 species
GGGUUAGCUCAGUUGGGAGAGCACUACGUUCGCAACGUCGGGGUCGGGGGUUCAAA